GCCUACGGCCUGAACUAAGCAGGUUUGGGUCUGGUUAAGUACUUGGAUGGGAGAGCACCUGGGAAUACUGGGUGCUGUAGGCU
rnacentral:rRNA from 1 species